CAGUGGACUAUGAAUCCUCCCCUAAAAGGCUGGGGGUCUUUGUGGAAGAGCCGCCACCCAGCACGAGCUUUUUGAGUAUGCAGAACACAUCAGCUCAGCCUGAAGCUGGCAGUUAGUGCACACACACACACACACACACACACACACACACACACACCAGUGCUCUCCCCUCAAGUGAAACAGCAUUAGCAAUCGCAUCUCCAGCUUCCUGAGCUGAGACCAGCAGCACUGCCUGAUGUAUUGGAGGAGCAAGAGGAGAGCAGUUUCGGAGGCACGGCUAACAGAGAGCUGCCACAUCCAGUUGCAGACAGCCACUUCUUCCCAGCUGUUUUCCUGCUGUCAAGAAGGCACCAAUUCCAAAAGCCGGUCAGCUUGAGGAGGUGUCUGCGUGGUGCUUCAGGUAAAACCAGUUUCUAGCUGUUCUCUUUUCUCACCAGCCAGCCACCUAACCUCCUUACAGGAUGAAUUUUGUUCAAAAAUGAAUGCUGAGAUAAACACCGACUGAUCACCCCAGGUAGCUGUCUCAAAACAUCAAUCUAUUGAUUUUCACUGCAUGGGGUGAAGAAGAAACCACCAAAUCAGAUAAGUCAGCCCUGCCGCUGGACUGACCGUGCUGGGCAGGCAACGCUGCACGAGACGCUGUUUCUGUGGUGGAGCCAGGUGAUGGUCUGAAACUUAAUCUUUUCUUUCGUUGAAAGGGUAAAAAGUAUCACCGGAGACAGAUGGAAUGAAGUUGCUCUUCUUGGACAUUGAUGGGCUUGUCUAAUUAAGGGCAUGCUUUCAUUGAGUUUGACUCUUCAGUGUGUCCAUCUACCCAGAUAACUGCUGAUGUUGACUCUGAGCUUCAGCAGUUUUGAAUGACUGACACCUCCCUACUCACCCCUGGGACGUAUUUCCUGCAGGAUUGUGGCAAACUAGUAUUUCAGGUUCCCUUGGCAACCCUGGUGCCGUGUCUCCUGAGAACUGUGCCUCUCCAGGACCUCAGAAGACCUGACUUCUGGAUGGACAAUCUGAGACUGAGAGAGGGCUAGUGAGUUCCUGGACACUUGGGCAGUAGCAUUACUUACAGAGGGGCCCUCUGAAAGUUCUUGCAUAUUCAUGAGGCUCCAGCACACACCAGGAGCUUGGAGCAAGAAGACAGGAGUCUGCAAGGGCUAUGUUGCCUCUUCAAGAACAAAGGCUUUGUCGGUUUACCACUCUGGGAAGAUUGCCAAGCUCCGGUAUUAAUAAUAAUCCCUUUGUAUUUUAAAUGCCUUAUAAUUGCAUAAAUAAAGCAUACUUUCUCUUCUUCAAUGGUAAUGAGCCUUAUUUGACUGAUUGGUUGAUUAAUAACACUCUAAUUCCUUCAAUGACAAAACACAAAGGCCAAAAGAUGGAUGGAGAGUUUCAGUGGUUUGGGAUGAGAGAACCAUUCUGGCGGGAUUCUGCAGCUGCCUGGGCAGCUCAGGGAGAAGGAAGUGGCAGCAGGCUUUCCUCACAGGUACUGGUUGAUAAGCCAGGGAUGUAGUCAACAGCAGGAAAAGAGUUCCUGCUUUUCCAGCUGAGCUAUCACGGACACUGUUGACUCCACGUUAUGUUAGGUGAAUUCCCUGAAGACCUAUGGGAGAGAUGUCUGUGGCUUUGUUGAUGGCAGCCCUUGCCCUGGAUUACUGGAUUUAGACAUUUGAAAUCGUUAAACCAAUCCAAGCAAAUCAUAUUUACUGCUUCAUAUUUGUCUCUGAGAAACUCGGAGUCAGCCGUGUCUUACCUGCAACAGGUGUUAGGUUCCUGUACCAUAGUCAAUCACAUUUGUGGAUCGUCAACUGUCUACAUGGGCUCUUAGUGCCUUCAUUCUGGCAAGCAACAUGGUCCUGCAAACACAAGGGCGUAGAAAUCAUUCUUGUUCAUAGAGUGAUGCUUUUACAUGCCCACAGCAAUAGAAUCCUAGGUAUCUGAAAAGACACCCCUUGUUCUUUGUCAUUGCUGUUUUCAGACCCAGAGAGUGAACUGCGCCCAGAGGCCACCUUUGAUUUGGCUGUGAACCUGGCUUUCCUUUCCUGAGCUCAUCAAAGCCCCUGCUUCGUGAUUAGUCAGGAAUCACAAGGUUAGAUGAGAGCUCCAGUGAGGGAGGUGGUGUGAGCAGCUUUCACUGUCUUGCAGCAGUCCAAGACAGAGGCCCACAUGAGGCUUUUGUGGAUUACCUGCCUCCUGCCAACAGGCCUCUGACUGACAGUAGGAUAUGGGAGUGAGGAAGGGACACAUCCUAGCUUCCUGUCCUCCUCUUUCCAACAAGUCUAUUUUGCUGGUCAGGUGAUGAGGGCAAAUUGGGGAUGUAGAAAGGCAGAAGGGAACUUGUCUGCAUGACAUCCUCACUUGAAUUCCCAGGAUUGCAUAAACCAGCUGUUGUGGUCCAGGGUUGUUAUCCCAGUAUUCUGGAGGCAGUGGCAGGAAGAUGAGAAGUCCAAAGCUGUCCUUAGCUACAAAGUGAAUUCGAGAACCCAUGAAAGAAUGAUCUUACUGGCUUGUUCCUUGUGGAUAUGGAUACCCCAGAAUAUAUAUGUGUGUAGAGAGAGAUAUACAUAUACAUACAUAUAUAUGUAUACAUACAUACAAAAUACAUAUAUACAGGUCAUAGUAAUUUAAUCAUAUACAUAUGAAUGUUAUAUUUUAUAUAUAUAUACAUAUAUCCCAGGAUAACUACCCACAAUGAACUGGGUCCUCCUAAAUCAUUUAUUAAAUCGAGACAAUGACCCCAAAGCCUAGCUUGCAGAAAAUCUGAUGGAGGUGUUUUCUCAACUGAGGCUCCUUCUUUCUCUCUGACUCUAGCUUGUAUUAAGUUGUCAAAAACCUAACCAACACACCAUCUAUAUUAGUUAUCUCUAUGUAUCGUCACAUUUGCUCUACCAUGAUUUUCUUCCAUGUACUUCUUGUCGAUCCUAUUAUAUUGCUGAGAUUCUCAAGACUCAGAGAUGUUCAGGAACUUGUCCAAGAUCACACAUCCAGCCUGGGAUUAGGAGAGAUAGAGAUCUGAACCCUGGACUCCAUUUAUAUCCAGUACACUAAUGUGCUUCUUCAAGUGACUAUUGCCUCAGUGUGUCCCAUGCUCAAGUUUAAAUACUUCUGAGGGUUCUGUCUUGAGGUCUCAUUCCCACCAUAUCUGUUCUUGGUGUCUGAAAAAAAUCGAGGGUGGAAAUGAAUCUUCGAAGCCAAGAAGGUAGAGGAGGAACAAGCAGUUUACGCUUACAAAAUUUGUUUUUAAUUCUAGCUACAAGUCAUAGUAAUUUAAUCAUCAGAGCUGGCGCCCCUUUCCUUGGGAACUUCCUGCCCUGAGCCAGGUGAUUUUUUGUUUGUUUUUCUUGAAUCUGGUGAUUUUCAAAGAAAGUUCUAGACUGGGCUGUUCACACCCAUGGCUGGCAUCAGGAGCACAGUGUGUGAAGAAACACAGAGGGACAGAGGGACGUUGAGCUCUGCCCCAACAGCCUCUUCUCUGCUCUCUUGGAAGCCCAGGGAGGUAGGCAUGGUUUCCUGCAUGGGAAAACUGAGCCUGGGGCUUCUGAGAGUCAAGGCAGACCUGCCAGGCCCAGCAUGGCGCCACAUCUGCAGGCAUGGCUGAGGCUACUGCUUGGACACAUUUUCUUCCGAGGUGCUUCUGUCUCUAGAAACAGCCUAGUCAGAAUGCUGUUUUUUGUUUUGUUUUUUGGUUUUGUUGUAUCAGUCCAUGGAGGGCUCUGAUCACAUGUCCGUCCCACAGUUCUCUUUGAAUCCCUGUGGACCCUGAAUAGGCCUUGCUUUCAUCCAUUCCAGGGUGGUAGGAAGCUGUGUUUAGAGUGUAAGUCUUUCUUCUGAGGGAUUUGAAGGCCAGCCCCAGCUUUUGUCCCUGGGGUCAAGGAGGAAAUUUGAGAGGCUGUGGAGGAAGGAGGCGGCUGGCUUUGUUUUGUCAAGAUCUGUGCUGUGUUUUAAACAGUUUCAUCCUCAACCGGGGAACAUACUCCCACCAAAGAAAAACAGCCCAAAAAAACUGCAGCCAUCUGUGACCUGCAGCUAUAGUACACAUGCAUUCUCUUGUUCUGCCCACCCUUAUCUGUCUCUUCAUCCCCUGCCCAGCCCCUCAGGUCCCACAGACAGUAGAAAGAACUGUUCUCCAGUGGCCACUGGUCUGAUUCUGAGAAAGAGAAAGAGCUAGACAGAGGAAACUCCAUUUCUGCAGCCCAUCUGAUGAGGAAGGAGCUUUGGGAAGAGACGAGGGUAGUCUGGUCAUGAUCUGCUUUGGAUCCUGAGAAGACCCUCAGAUCUGCCUGUGUAAGGUGGGAUCCCAGGAGGGGUGAUCUGAGGGCAUCUUGAUCUUUUGCUAAUAGGACAGUUGAGUGAGGGUUCCAAAAGGCAUCCAUUGGGUCUUGGGCCCCAGGGAAGCAUGGCAGAUCUGGAAUCUCUGGAUAUUCUGACCCUCAAUCUUAAGAUACAUAGCUUCUUUAAUUUCAGUUUUUUUUCUUUUCAAAAUGGAGUUAAUCAUUUCACAGAAUGAUUAUGAAAUCCAAAAUAAUAUGUAAAAGCAUCCAUAGUAUCUUUAAAGGAAAAAACAAAAAGAUGUCUACUGAAGGGCUAUUGCUAUUUAAUUGCUGAUAAGAUUGAGGUAUAAGUAAGGCACCCAGUGUGAAAUUUAAGGAGGCACUCAGAGUCAGUAUCAUACCUCUGCAGCAGCAUACUCAAGAAUGAGUGCCACCUUAAAGCGUUAGUGGUUUUCCCCUCAGUCACUUUUAACUGGUCCCAACUAUGAGAUUAUAUAAUGCUCAAGAUCACUGAUGCUUUUAAAUGAAAUUAUAUGUUAUUACAGAUGUAUCUACCUUUACAUGAGCUUUGGGAAGAAGACACAAGUGGCCUAGGGAGGUCUGGUUCACCUUUACACUAUAAAAAGAUAUACUUCAUCUAUCUUUACAUAAUAAAAAAUGUCCGUUUGUAUGUAUGAUAUAAUGUUCAAUCCAUAGAAAAGUUUCAACCUUCCAGAGGAAGCCACAGCCCUCCAUCCACCCACUGUUGAAGGGCAAAUAAUGGCCGCCCACUCUGUCUCGAUAACCUUAGUCUUAACCAUUCUCGAACCAUAGAGAGCUGUUCAGCUAGUAGGUCUGAGAAGAAGCCAAAAGCUGAUCACAGCCCAGGGAUCUGUUCUGAAAACUGUUUCAUGCUGACCUAGUUUGGAUUGUGGUUACCUCAAGUAUAUUAAUGCACAACUGCAUAGAACAUCUCAGUUGUUUAUUUUAGAAAUCUCUUUCCACUGGGCAGUGGUGUCAUACGCCUUUAAUCCCAGUCCUAGGGAGGUCAAGUCAGGGGGAUCUCCUGAAUUUGAGGCCAGCUUCAUCUCCAAAACAAGUUCCUGGACAGCCAGGGCUACACAGAGAAAACUUGCCUCAAAAAAACAAAAACAAGGAGGAAGAGGAAAAAAAGGUAGUGGGGGAAAAUACUUUGCAUUGACUGGCACAAUGGAGUACCUAGUAGUUAUUUAAGGACUACUUGGUGAUACGGUUCAUUGGAAUAUAGGCAGGUAAAUAUAUGCAGAUACACGUGGAUGGAAGGGUGGAUUUACAACUAGACAAAUGUAGGUGAGUAGAUGGAUGGGUGAGUCAAUGAAUAAGUGGCUGGUUGGACUCAAAAAUAGAGAACAGAUGGAUGAAUAGGUAGAUGAAUGAAGAAAUAGUAGUGUGGGUUUACAGCUAUGGGAUAGGGGAUGGGGGUUGGAUGGGUAAGUAGAUGGGUGGGAAGAUUUACAAGUGGUAGGUAGAUAGGUAGGUAGGUAGAUGAAGGGAUUGACAGGUAGAUUCACAAAUGGACAUGUGAGAAAAUAAAUGAAUGGGUAGGUUGUUGGAUGGAUGGAUGAGUAGAUUUAUGAGUAGAUAGAAAAGAGGGUGGAUAGGUGGGUGAGUAAAUGUAUGGAUGGGUAGAUUUACAGAUAGAGGAAUAAGUGGAUGGAUGGGUGGAUGAUGGAUAGAUGGAUGGAUGGAUGGAUGUAUGGAUGGAUGGAUGGAUGAUGAAUGGCUAGAUUUACUAAUAGAUGGACAGGUGGGUGGACAGAUGGACAGGUGAAUGAAUGGACAGAUAGGUGGAUUUAUGAGUAGAAAACAGGCGGGUAGAUACAUUGAUGGGUUGCUAAAUGGCUGGGUGAAUGGUUUUUAAAGACUGGCUGGCUUGGUUUCAGAUUCGUAAGUUCCCAAGAAUCAGUGAUUUCAAAUAUUCUGUUUCUUGAUAUUUAUGCAAUGCCUAUGACUUGGGCUGUAAUAUACACUCACUAUAUAUUUGUAAUUUGCUUUUGAAUUGUGUGAGAAUAUGAGAAAAGACUAUAAACUGUGUAAGUGGUGGGCAAGGAGAUAACUGUUCACUUUUAAACACCGUUCUUUCCAUCCCGUCACUUUUCAUGAGCCUUGGUCUUCUCAGGAGCUACAUAAGUAGCACUUCCAACUCUUCCCAGAACUGUAAGCUCACCCAACACUAAGCAUGUGGCCGAGCAUACUGUAGCUGGUCUGCUGGAGCACUUAGGUUUGAUCACCACAAGUGUUGAACACUCCAAAGAAAUGAAGACCUGGUGUCUAACGAUAUGCCUUGUCAGUGGGGAAGCCAGGACUAACGCUCAGCUUCAGACUGUUCAUGUUGGACUUACUUCUUUCUGGGCGAGAUGACUGGCCUGCAGAGAGAACCCUGAUGCCUUGAAUGAGGCGGGCACAUUAUUCUAUGGAGCUGGGGAGCCAGUGGGAGAUUGUUUGCUUAGAAGAGACACAACUUUGCCUGAGCCUCACUGUUUGAAAUAACUGCUUAAGCCCUGGACUGUCAGCAGACAAGGACUAUCUGUGCUUUGCUAAGAGGCUUGUCCAUCUGUUUGUGUUUAGUGGAUUCACUGUCAGUAAAGAUUCCCUUGUGCUGGAGGGUGAUGGGAUAUAGAGAUGCAGGCAGUUAAUGCCUCCCAGGUAGAGACCGGCCUCUUGCAAGUCACUUUUGCCUCCUGCAGACUUAACUUCUCUGAAACAAAUUCUUGUUCUGGCCCUCUUUCAUGAAGGAUGGGGAGAUGUCAAAUGGUUGACAGGGGCCAGCCUUUGCAUUCACAGACUCGUAUUAGAGUGGAGGUGCCACAUCAUACCCGUGUAGAGAAGACCAAAAAGGGAAUGUUUUCUGGACAUCAACCAUACCAGAUCACCUGUAGCAAUAUGGAAGUGCAUUGACUAACACUCCUUCAGCUAGAACUUAGAAAUACACUUUUUACAUUGAGGAAGCCAAGGGUCAGAGGUUAUGCAUCCUGUUCAGUGUCUGACUGAUCAUUAGUCACUGUUAAAAUAAUUCCAGACUUUGUUACUUAAACAUGUGCCAGGGCCUCAAACCUAUACCCUUCUCUCAUCCCCAUUUUAAGGGGAAUAAAUAAAAUUCCAAUAACCCAAUUUGUCCCAGUAAUCAAGUGAACCCUCACCUUCCAGGUGUUGGCAGGAAGAAGGCCUGAAAUUUUGCACACAAGGAGGCUGUUUGCACCCAUGAUGCUAGUGGAUUCUGAAAUGACAAGCCUUUUGAACAUUUGCCAGUAUCUCAACCCUUCUAAUUAAAAUCACAUUAUCCAUGAUGAUUCUUAAUGAUAGCAUUUGUGAAGUUGGGAUGCUCUCUGCUCUCGACUUCAGUGUGAAAAUUUUCCAUCUGAACAGCACAUGUCGUGGCCUUGAUAAUGGGCUGGUGGAGAUUCUCCAUGGCCUGCUUCAGAAGUCUAUGCAUUUCCUCUGGUUCUUGAAACCUCUGCUUGGGGAGGCUCAGCCUGCCUAGCAAAUUGUUUGGUAGCCAUGUGUCAAAGGCACCUAUGAACUCUUUCUCAUUUAUUAUUUUAGUUGCUCUGGCCCUCUCCCUUCCAAGGUGCAGGUAUGAAGAAGUAAAUAGAUCAGUGUGUGCUGGACAGGGUUUUCCAUUAGGCUGCAGAGUCCGCCGGUGUGUCCUUUACCAUUAAGGAGACUCUUUGCAUCAGCAUGCUUUUUAAGCAACAGACCCUUCUUGAUUAAAACUUAGAGGAGACAGCUAGAGAGCAUCCUGAGUAAUGGAUCUAUGAAAAUUCACUGAUUUAUUAAUUUUACUUCUAAAUAAUGCUAAAAUCAAAAAGAAAAUAUGUUUUUUUAAGAAAUUUAAUAGCAUCCCUUUGGGUCAUAAUGUACAGUCCAGAGUACUGGUCAGGACUGUGAGUGUCAGGUUCAUAACAGAGGCCUGCCUCCUUAGUUCACUGGCCAAGAGCUGAUAUGACUAGUCCUUGCAUACCCUUCCCUCCCAUCUGGAUAAAUUCUGUGCUUAAAACGCUGGGCUUCUGACAUUCUCUGUACUCAAGCCUUUCUCAGCACCUAUGUGAAACGAAGGAAACUCCUUUGAGAAAAUGCCUCCAUAAGAUCAAGCUGUAGAGCUUUUCUUAGUGAAUGAUGGAGGAGAGCCUAGCCCAGUGUGGGUGGUGCCAUCCCUAGGGUAGUAGUCCUGGGUUCUAUUUUUUUUUUUACAGUAGACUGAGCAAGCCAUGAUGAGAAAACCAGUGCGCAGCACCCCUCAGGGGUGUCUGCAUCAGCUCCAGCCUUCAGAUUCUGCCCUGUUCUGACUUCCUCUAAUAAUGAACAGGAAUGUGGAAGUGUAAGGCAAAGAAACUCUUUCCCUCAUAUUUGCUUUUGGUCAUGGGGUCUCCUCAUAGCAAUAGUAAGCCUAACUAGGACCCCUUCUAUAGCCCCACCAUGCGAGAUCCCAUGGAUCUUUAAAAUGCAGCCUUUCUUCAAGCAAUUUUGGCUGCUAAUUCAGGCUAGACAAGCAACCUCUACAGUGCUUGCACUGCAGCCAGCAGAAAAUUCUCAUCUUGUUUUGCUUAUUUUUGCCACUGCUCAAUGGCCUGGACAGACUCAUCCUUUGGUAAUUGUUCAUGGAUUGAUUGGAUGGAUGGAUGGAUGGAUAGAUGGAUAGAUGGGAGUGGAAAGAACGGUUCCGGUAACUACAUUAGCUUCUACCUGAACUCCCAAGCCCUAUCCCCACAGUGGCCUGGAGCCCAGUGGUAGACAUGAUAUCUUAGCCCAUGUGAGUCUAAGACUCCAGUAUCCAUUAGUAGGAUGAGAGCUGAGCAGUUAGAAUCCAAAUGAUAAGGCAGUUGGUAAAAGCCAGAUUCUUCCUACAUCUGGAAAAUAUGGCAUGGCAACUCUCAAUGACCCACUUUCUGUACACUUUAAACUCUCAAGGGAACUUCCCAGCGGUUCUUUCACAGUUGGCAGCAUCUUGCAAAUUCUGGCUGACUGCUUUGGUUUCACAGCAACGUAAUGAAGCUGUCAGAUGCCAAGCUCUGGCAGUAGGCAGCCUUCGCUUGGGUUCCAGCUCUGCCAACUCCUAGUAUUCAACCUAGGCAAGUCAGCCAUCCGCUUUGAGGUUCUCUACUCCCCUGGAAAAUGAGGCCAUUGAAUGAGACAAUAAAGGGUACGUUUUGAAGCUGAUACUAUAUUCAAAUGAGGUUGCUGAAGGGUUGAAUGAAAGGCAGGGUGUCCAGACAUGGAGAGAGAUGCAGCUCUACAAGACAGUGCCAUAGAGCAAGACCUCAGGUAGAGAACACGAGCCCUUGAAAGCCCAUUAGCAGGGAUGUCCAACAGCAUGGCCCACUACAUGGUGGCCAAGGAUCACUAUGAACAUGGCCUAACACAAACACACAAACAUUCUUGAAAUAGGACUUCUUAACUCAGGUGCAGAGUUCUCAGGCAGGAACUCUGUAGAUGACAAUGCUGUAUAGUAUGUCAAAAGUCUCCUCUGCAGAUGGAUCCUCCCACUGGCUAAGCCUAUGCAGAAGCCAGAGGAAAAGUCCACUGGAGCAGGAAGGGUAGGGAAAGGAGCUGGAGGGCAGUGUGAGCCCUAGGGAACCAGCACACUCUGCCUAAAGAAGGCUCCCAGGCAGCUUCCUUUCUCCCUUAUCAACCUCUCCCCCACACCUGCACAGGAAAAGGGACCAAAGACAAGAUCAGAGAAUGAGGAGAGUUCUUUAUAGGGCUUCACAAGAGUAUGGUAAGGAUGAAGUUGAAAUGGAAAGAAAGAAUAAAGGAUUUUUAAUUGUGAUUAUCUGUGGAUUUCUUUUAUCCACCUUAUCUCUCUGCACCAGUAGCUGGGGUCAUUAGAAGCUCAAGCCUCCCCUAACUGUGGCUCUUAAAUGUGCUGAAUGCACUUCAAAGGUGCUUUUGUAAGGAGCUGUGUGCUGUCAUUUUUAAUUAAUUUUAGCUUUAUUUUUUCAUUUGAUCUGAUGGAGUCAAAUGAACUUUUAUUGCCCAGAUAUCCCUAACCAGUGAACUAGGUCAGCCUUUCCAGGAGUUCUUUGAAACUUUUUCACAUGUAUAAAUAACUUCUGCUGGCAGAGUCUGGGCUCUGCAGGAGACCUAGCUGCCCUGCAGGGGUAGAUAGGAGAUGAGAUCCACCCACUGGCUACUUCCAUCAGAGAGCCUGGCCCACCCACCUGAGCACUGGGCACUUACUGGGUGUUCAGUAGGGAAGGGAUCCCUGAGGCUGCCUGUGUCCCACAGGGAAAUAGCAUUGAGGACCGGAGGAGAAGAAAUUGCAUUUUUCUCCUGAAACUGCUUUCCGGUGGAGGACUGCAAUGUGCCAGUCUCUCUGUCGUGAUUUUCUGGAGCUUUCCUGCCCUCUGUGGUCACUUCUGAAGACGCUUCUUAAAACUGGUGGGUCUCACUUCCUAGACCCUUCCCACUCCUGUCCUAGAAGCCUAGGAAAACCUCUGUCAUCGGGAAGGUGCUGUCUCUCUAGGACUGGGAGGACUUUGCCUCUGUGUCUUAACCCUCUCCUAUCUCCUGCCUUAUCCCUGUUGCUUCUUAUAGAGAUUAUCCCGUCCCACUGAGAAACUCCCUUCCGGGGAGCUGCCCCCCAAACGGGCCCUCACCUCAUGAGUGUGUGUGUGUGUGUGUGUGUGUGUGUGUGUAUUCUUUUCCUACUCAUCUUCUUCUGUUUCACAUCCCCUGCUUGACCCUAGGACACAUAAUAUUGAACCUUUCAUGUUACAGCACAUUAUAACAUUUGUUAACCUUUUCCACCCCGUGCUAGGAUAUGAAAAAUGCACACAUAGUUUCAUUUCCCAAAUAACUCCUGUGAGGGGGAGGGGUGUCUAGUAGGAAAGUGCAGCUUUCUGAAGAUGUCCUGGCGCACAGGGUGACUUCCGCUCAGCCCCAUGUUUGCCUGUCUCCAGAGAUGACCGCCGCUUCUCCUUUUUCCAGGAAAACAGAAAGAAAAGCUUACACUGUAUUUUGUUUAUACCAGAGAGGUAAUUUUGUCCCCUGGCUUCUCUUAAUGAGGUGGGCGGGAGCUUGCUCCCCAGAGUUCAGGGACUCCUGUGAGCUGCUCCCUGCUUCCCCUUUGUGGGAAGGCACUUACAGCUUUUCUCUGCCCUCAGACAUGUGCAUAGUUCCACAAGCAGCUGUUGGAGACAACUCCUCAAUGCCCUCCUGUGUCUAUGUUCAUGUAUUUGGUGGGAACUGGCUGUAACUAUCAACUCAUGCCCUAUUAAUUCAAUGCAUUUUAGUGAGAAGAGAUAAAUUGGCCUGAAAAAAAUAAUUUCCCCAAUGGACAUCUCAUCCGUAGUGUGUGAGAAAACCCCUUCAAAAUAGGCAAGUCCUGGGAAUUAUCACGCCUCUGAAUGUUUGCCAACCUGAUAAGGAUUUAAAAAAAAUAAUAAUUUCUUUGUUGUUUUGAUCUGUAGUUCUUUAAUUAUGAAUGCAGCCAAAUAUCUUUUCAUAUGUUUAUUAGGAUGCCUGCAUUUGUUCUUCCCUGAAUACAUUUAUAUUCUUCGUUUUGUUUCUACCGGAAAUAAGUUUUAAAUUACUUUGUGACAUCAAAUGCAGGAUCCAAAUCACAAGCAUUUUAAUGUUAUCAUCAAAUGUAUUUUGGCUUUAGUUGUAGAUGCCAAACUGAAAGGGCGGGAGGAGGGCCUAGAUGUCUCUAUCUCCUGCUGCUGCCACAGGGAACCCUCUGCAACCUCUUAGAAUGGCUUGUCACACCCAAACUUGGUAGAACAAGACGAUGAAUUAUUUAGGAUGCUGUUGGUUCCAACGGGAAGCUCUACCCAUCAGACCAUUCCCUGGCAGCUGCUAAGUAGCAGGCGCUAAGGCACGGAUCAGCUGUGGGAGUCCGUGUCGUCCAUUUAGAUGAGGACUCCGUCAACUGCCCAUUGAGAACCUCUAGGGGUCACAUCCUUGACACCAUCUGCUGGACCAUGAAGAUCACCAGCCUGCCAAGAAGCCUGACAGGCUGUGGUUAUUUUCCACUCCAGUGCAGUGUGUUUUUCUUUCCCCUGGCUUGAAGGGGAUUCAUUUUCUGAGUAGGCUUUUUGGGCUGUAGUCAUCUCGUAAGGGGAAAUGGAUCUCUCAGGGGACUUUGGUAUGUUGGGCCAGACCUCAUGCGCUCAAGCCCUGAGUGUGAGCUUUUGUGUCUGCAGUGAUGUUUUGGUCUUUUGGAGUUAUUAUCCAUUCAUCCAUCUAUUCUACAACAAAUGUGCUGAGCUGCAGUUUGCUAAUACAUUAAAAAUUCAGGCUUUAGGUGGCCAUCAAGAUGGCCAAGUAGGAAAGAGCACUUGUUGCCAAGUGUUAUGGCUUGAGUUCGCUUCCUAGAACCCACAUGAUGGAAGGAGAAAACUGAGAACACAUAUGCGUCUGCGCACGCACACAUGCAGACACACAGACAUGCACACACACGCAGUCUGUGUGCAUUAAUUGAGUGGCAUUGAGCAAAUUGCACUGUUGCAUUGUUGCUUAAAAUACAAAAAGAAAUAAAUAAAAUGUUGUCAGCAAACUCCACUCUCAGAAUUAUGAAGUUUGUUGAGCUAAUCAGCAAUUGUCAAAGUCUAGCUGCCUUACUGAGCCACCUCAAAAUACAGGUACUUAAAAUAAUCAUUUCUUCCUGCACUAUGCCUGAGUCUUGGCUAGGACCUGCUGAUCUAAACCAGGCUUGGCCAGGGCCACCUCUAAUCCGCAAGGGAGAUCCAGCUCUGUCCAGGAAUCCCUAUCCCUCUUGGACUAGUGGGACAGCUGGGGCAUGCAGAUUUCACUGGAAAAGAAAAGAUAUAUUAUAUCAGUACAUCUGUUAGUGCCCUAUUGGCCAGAGGAGGUCACCUGAGCAGUAUGGAGUAGAGAAGUACAUUCCAGUGUCAAUGGGAAGUGCUGGGAGUCAAGGGUUCAAGGCCGGAGGAGAAGCUGUAGAGGACCACCACUGCCAACCUGUGCUGCUGCAGGUGCGGGCCCCUCAGUGCUCUAGCUUCCUCGCCCACACCAGAGAGAAAUCCUUGACAGCAUCACUCUUCAAAGAUGGCUGCUCUGUCUUGUACCCAUUCUGAUCCACAGCUUCUCUUCGUUUCUGAGUUCUUAAGAGUAUGAGAUGGACGCAAUACGCAGGUUCUCAGUGUAUACCCUCACGUAAUCCGUCAGUCUGUGCGCUGGCUGCCCUUACCUCUACCUCAUUACUUUGUAUUUCACAGAGCUGUUGCAUCUUCUGUCUGUGUCUGUUGCUUUGUGCUACAUUAUGGGAAUUUUACGCAAACCUAAUUAAAACUUCUAUACAUGUACCUCUACCUACUAAGCCAUCUCAGCAGCCACAAUUUCAUUAAGCCUCUGAAGUUUAAUAUAAAUGGAGCUUUUUUUUUAAAAAAAAAAAUCUCUUGACUUUUACUUAUUUAUGUUUCCAGCCUGCCUUUAUGUCUUUAUAGUUAAAAGAAUAUAAUGCUGUUCCUGUAAUAUAAAUUUUAUCCCUUCACUUCUCUUCUUACUCCAUUAACUACAUCUAUAAUCUAUCAAAUUAUUUAGUAUUUCAAGGGUGUGUGCUCUCAUUGUUGUGGAUGCUAAUAAGAUAUGCCUGGGUGAGUUGUAAUUUUCUGUAAGCUCAUUCCCGAUGACGUGUUUCUUCUUCUUUUAGUAUUUAUUGUUGUUUCCAUCCCCUCCCCACCCCCAUGAGUUUUACUGUAUUCAGUGUUGCCGAAAGGCCUCUGCAGAACCUAUGAUUUGCCAUGCGCCUCCUACCUACCAACCACCCCGGAGGACAUGCUGGCUUCUGGCCAGGUUUCACAUUAACUUUUCAGCGUAGAAACCCAGCAACCCAUCAGUGGUGUGAACCUAAAUUUCAUGUUUGUAUGUAGCAGAGGUCUCAUUCUUCUAAUCAUGAGAUUUGUUUUUUCUUUCCUCCCCAAAUCCCCCAGCAGACACAAGCUUUUUUGGUCUCCUGUGUAGCUGGCUGGACAGAAGUCUCAUCAUUGGAAGAAACCCCUCUAGGCACAGGUUUUAGGCAGCAGUCAGUCAGGAACUCCAUUCUAACUCUUUGCCUCCGGUGGCCUGUGUGUGUGUCCUAUUUCCCUGCCUAAGCUAGCAGCCCUCAGCUGGUAAGGUCUCUCUGUCUUGUACAAUUCUGAGCCACUGCAGCUCCUGCCUUUUCACUUGAUACUCUAGUAAAUAGUUCUUAUUUGAUUUUUUUCUUUCUAUUUCAUUUUGUCCCAAGUUUUAUAAGGCUUAAUAGGAAAGAAAAUCCAUGGAUUCAGCUUUCAGUAUUGGCCAGAGCCACAAGUCUGGCACUUACAGGUCCUCAACAGGACACUGGGGUUCCUUGUGUUUUAAGCUUCUUCCCAAGAUGUGCCCCCCCCACAUGUUUUCAUUAAGUAACUCACUAGCUAGGUGCCUGCUGGAUUUAAAAAGCAAUUGAGAAUUUAAGCUGUGCCCAGCAAGUAACUGUCUUGAGUUACCUUCUAUUGACUCUUGUAAUAAUUAGAAUUUCAAUUAUUCAUUUUCAAUUAGAAGUGUGGCAUAAUCAUCACGAAUGUCAUUAAGAAAUUUAAUUGUAUCUAAUGUUGGAUUGAUAGAAGGAACGUUUCCUAGGAAAACAGACAUCCUUAAUUAGAAGAGAAAGAGUUACAGAAGAACUUUUGAAAGAUGUUGAGAGAAAUAGAAGACGGCAGCUUGGGCUUUAGUGGGUUGAGAAUGUGUGGUUUAGUGCUCCAUUCAUAGCAAAUACCUCCAAGCUAACCUCUGCAGGAAUGAAAAUCACCAGAUGUCAGUUCAAAUUCUAGCUCUACCAUGUACCUCGAUGGGCGUAAUGGAUACAAUGGUGCCUGCCCUGUGCCCGAUGCCCCGCUUAAUUCUAUGCUUGGAUUGUUUCAUUUAGUCUCACAGCCAACUUUCUAGGUAUUUCCUUGGAAUGGAAAUUGGUGCAGGGCACAAGCAGGGAUCUGGGAGCCGAGUGAGUGUUUAUGUAAGGGAUGACUAAAGCCAGUCUGCUGCAGAGAGUAGCCAGUUACUCCACUCCUACCUGGUGGGAGUGACCAGAGCCUCACACACUUCUCCUGAUUGCAUCUUCUGAACCAGCCCCUGGGAGUGCUCCUGUUCUAGUCUUGAGAAGCUAGCUCAGAGGACAGAGGUAAGCCAUCCAGGACUCGGGGUUACGGAGUGGGGGUUCUGCAAUCUAAACCUAUGCCCUCUGUCUUGGGCUUAUUGACCUUGUAUAGAAAGAAAUGAAAGAAAUUUUCAAUUUCCCAAAUAAAUAAAGUGUGUGGAAUCAUGGGUCUAUUUAGGCGAC